GAACCCAGGAGGCGGAGCUUGCAGUGAGCCGAGAUGGCGCCACUGAACUCUAGCCUGGGCAACGGAGCAAGAGGACGUCUCCAAAAAAAAAAGAGAGAGAGAGAAAUCAUUACUUACUUAAGUCAUUAGGUUCUUAUAAUACAAUUAAAGAAAGAAUAUUUUAUAUAAAAGAAGUUAAGGAGAAGUAAAGCUUCAAUGUGAAUGAGAUUUGCUCUAAAUAUAAAUGCUGAGAGGAAAGGUCAUUGAAAACAGGAAGGAUGAAAAGAAGUCAGAAAGCAGAUCAGCAACGCCAAAGACAUACUUCCUGAGAGUUCACUUUGCCCACCAUUGAAUCCCUAGUACCUGUAAUAACGACUGGCUUGGAGUUGGCAGCCAACAAAAAUUUGUCGAACGGAUGAAUGAAAUGAAGGAAUGUGAGAUGUACACAGGAACCACAAUCAUAUAAGGCAAAACUUGCCAUGUUUGGAGUGAGCAGAGCUGGAAGGCCGUACAAAUAGGGCCUUGAGUGUUAGUAAGAACACUACAAUAUUUGUUGAAUAAAUAAUCUAUCCAGAAAGAUGUCUCACUAUUCACAAGAUGAGAAGACAAAGAAUGGGACUUUAAAAAGAAUCCCUCAUUGGAAGCAAAGAACAAAAAGGGCAUGUAACACCUUCCAGACAGCAAGAUUUAAUGAGAUCCUAAAUGCCGAAGACUUCACCUGAUAGAGGCUCAACAUUCCCACCUAACUUUUAAAGAUACAACAAUCAAACUUACAACUGAAUUCUAGCUGCAAAACAUAUUGAUUGACAUCAUUGUCCAUAAUAUAUUGAAACGGUCAGCUAUUGUCUUGCUCCUCUCCGCCAGUUGCAAAGCACUCUUUAAAAAUCAAUUGCCUUCUCCCUGUGCAGAAUUGCCAGAAGUAGAUAUCUGAUGCCUGAACUGUAAGCAUAUUUAUUCAUUUUCAGUCUCAUUUCUGUUGUUUAUAAUGAUUUCAAUGAAAAUUGAAAUCUAAUGUUUGAACUGAAAGGGAUCAAUAACAUCUGAGAACAACUAUGCUCAAAGAUUU